rnacentral:ncRNA from 1 species
GAAAAGGCGUAGAGCGGGAGAAGUAAGGCGGCGCGCUUCAUGCAGAGAGGCCCCCAGAUGCUGUGAGGGGGCUAUGGAGACCCGACUGAAAUGCACCUGGGAGCUGCAGGGCAGAAGACAGUAGGCCCUGACGCAGGAAGGCGUUAUCUUCAUGAGUGAAGGGCAGGAGCCCUUAACCAGAGUGGAACCACGGCCCCGCGUCUCUGAG